AUUGAACGCUGGCGGCAGGCCUAACACAUGCAAGUCGAGCGGAUGAAGGGAGCUUGCUCCUGGAUUCAGCGGCGGACGGGAGAGUAAUGCCUAGGAAUCUGCCUGGUAGUGGGGGAUAACGUCCGGAGACGGGCGCUAAUACCGCAUACGUCCUGAGGGAGAAAGUGUGGGAUCUUCGGACCUUACGCUAUCAGAUGAGCCUAGGUCGGAUUAGCUAGUUGGUGGGGUAAAGGCCUACCAAGGCGACGAUCCGUAACUGGUCUGAGAGGAUGAUCAGUCACACUGGAACUGAGACACGGUCCAGACUCCUACGGGAGGCAGCAGUGGGGAAUAUUGGACAAUGGGCGCAAGCCUGAUCCAGCCAUGCCGCGUGUGUGAAGAAGGUCUUCGGAUUGUAAAGCACUUUAAGUUGGGAGGAAGGGCAGUAAGUUAAUACCUUGCUGUUUUGACGUUACCAACAGAAUAAGCACCGGCUAACUUCGUG
rnacentral:rRNA from 1 species